GACGAACGCUGGCGGCGUGCCUAAUACAUGCCAGUCGAACGAGAGCGACCGGUGCUUGCACUGGUCAAUCUAGUGGCGAACGGGUGAGUAACACGUGGGUAACCUGCCCAUCAGAGGGGGAUAACAUCCGGAAACGGAUGCUAAAACCGCAUAGGUCUUCGAGCCGCAUGGCUUGAAGAGGAAAAGAGGCGCAAGCUUCUGCUGAUGGAUGGACCCGCGGUGCAUUAGCUAGUUGGUGAGGUAACGGCUCACCAAGGCCGUGAUGCAUAGCCGACCUGAGAGGGUGAUCGGCCACAUUGGGACUGAGACACGGCCCAAACUCCUACGGGAGGCAGCAGUAGGGAAUCUUCCGCAAUGGACGCAAGUCUGACGGAGCAACGCCGCGUGAGUGAAGAAGGUUUUCGGAUCGUAAAACUCCGUUGUUAGAGAAGAACAAGUGCUAGAGUAACUGUUAGCGCCUUGACGGUAUCUAACCAGAAAGCCACGGCUAACUACGUG
rnacentral:rRNA from 1 species